rnacentral:tRNA from 1 species
UAUAUUUAAGUAUAUGAUGUAUAGAAAUUUUUGAUGUUUCAGGAAGUAGUUUAAUUCUACUAAAUAUAA